GACGAACGCUGGCGGCGUGCUUAACACAUGCAAGUCGUACGGUAAGGCCCUUUCGGGGGUACACGAGUGGCGAACGGGUGAGUAACACGUGAGUAACCUGCCCACAACUUUGGGAUAACGCUAGGAAACUGGUGCUAAUACUGGAUAUGUGCUCCUGCUGCAUGGUGGGGGUUGGAAAGCUCCGGCGGUUGUGGAUGGACUCGCGGCCUAUCAGCUUGUUGGUGGGGUAGUGGCCUACCAAGGCGGCGACGGGUAGCCGGCCUGAGAGGGUGACCGGCCACAUUGGGACUAAGAUACGGCCCAGACUCCUACGGGAGGCAGCAGUGGGGAAUAUUGCACAAUGGGCGCAAGCCUGAUGCAGAAACGCCGCGUGCGGGAUGACGGCCUUCGGGUUGUAAACCGCUUUCAGCAGGGACGAAGCUUUUUGUGACGGUACCUGCAGAAGAAGCACCGGCUAACUACGUG
rnacentral:rRNA from 1 species